rnacentral:rRNA from 1 species
GACGAACGCUGGCGGCGUGCUUAACACAUGCAAGUCGAACGGAGUGGCGAACGGGUGAGUAACAUGUGGGUGAUCUGCCCUGCACUCCGGGAUAAGCUUGGGAAACUGGGUCUAAUAUAGGAUAGUGCAAGAUGAGCUCGCGGCCUAUCAGCUUGUUGGUGGGGUAAUGGCCUGCCAAGGCGUCGCCGGGUAGUCGGCCUGGGAGGGUGUACGGCCGCAUUGGGACUGAGAUACCGCCCAGACGCCGACGGGGGGCAGCAGGGGCGAAGAUUGCACGAUGGGCGGAGGGCUGAUGCAGGGGGGCCGCGUGGGUGAUGAUGGCCUUCCGGUUGUGAACUCCUAUCGGCAGGGACGCGGUACCUGUAUAAGAAGCACCGGCUAACUACGUGCCAGCAGCCGCGGUAAUUC